UACGAAGGGGGCUAGCGUUGCUCGGAAUUACUGGGCGUAAAGCGCACGUAGGCGGAUCUUUAAGUCAGGGGUGAAAUCCUGGGGCUCAACCCCAGAACUGCCUUUGAUACUGAGGAGCUUGAGUCCGGGAGAGGUGAGUGGAACUGCGAGUGUAGAGGUGAAAUUCGUAGAUAUUCGCAAGAACACCAGUGGCGAAGGCGGCUCACUGGCCCGGUACUGACGCUGAGGUGCGAAAGCGUGGGGAGCAACAGGG
rnacentral:rRNA from 1 species